rnacentral:rRNA from 1 species
UACGUAGGGUGCGAGCGUUAAUCGGAAUUACUGGGCGUAAAGCGUGCGCAGGCGGUUGGUUAAGUCUGAUGUGAAAGCCCCGGGCUCAACCUGGGAAUGGCAUUGGAAACUGGUCAGCUGGAGUGUGGCAGAGGGGGGUGGAAUUCCGCGUGUAGCAGUGAAAUGCGUAGAUAUGUGGAGGAAUACCGAUGGCGAAGGCAGCCCCCUGGGUCAAGACUGACGCUCAUGCACGAAAGCGUGGGGAGCAAACAGG